rnacentral:tRNA from 1 species
GCCGUGGCCUACUGGCUAGCGCUUCGGACUUGUAACCGGAGGGUUGCCGGUUCGAACCCCGACCAGUAGGCA